rnacentral:rRNA from 1 species
GGGGGAAAAUUAAUAAAAUAAAAUUAAUAAAAAAAUUUUUAAUAUUGGGGGGUAUUAAAGUAUUUUUUAAAGAAAAAAUAAAAAAUUUUAUAGUGAAUUAAUAUUGUGAAAGAAUUUUGAAAUAAAGUUGAAAAGGAAAUAAAAAAAAAGUAAAUUUAAUUUAUUGUAUCUUGUGUAUCAGAGUUUAUUAAAAAAUAUUUAAUAAAUUAUAAAAUCUCGAAUUUAAAAGAGUUAAUUAAUUAUAAAAGUUAAUGUUGAAUAAUUAUUUUUAAUAAUUAAUUAGAAAUGAAAUGUUAAUCGUUUUUGAAUAUAUCUGGUUUUUUUAGAAAAAAAUUUAAUUUUAAAUUUAAAAAAUUUUAUAUUUAAUUAAUUAAAUAUAAAAUUUUAAAAUUAAAUAUUUUAAGGGAUAAGCUUUAAUUUAAAUAUUUAUAAUAAAAAUAAAUAUUAAUAAAAUUUUUAAAAUUUAUAUUGUUUAAAAAUUAUAGUUUGUUAAAAAAAAUUUUAUAUUAAAUAAAAUUUAAAAUAUUAUUUAAUUUUUUAUAAAAAAAUAUUUUUUAAUAAUAAAAAAAUAGAAAUAAUGAUAAAAUUAGUAUAUUAUUAAUUAAAAAUAUAAAAUAUAAAUUGAAAUUAAUUUAAAGGAAUUCGGCAAAAAUUUAUAUUCACUUGUUUAUCAAAAACAUGUCUUUUAGAAAAUAAUUUAAAGUCUAAUCUGCCCACUGAUUAAAAAUUAAAGGGCUGCAGUAUAUUGACUGUACAAAGGUAGCAUAAUCAUUAGUCUUUUAAUUGAAGACUUGUAUGAAAGAUUUGAUGAAAUAUAAACUGUCUCUAAAUUAUUAAUAAAAAUUAAUUUUUUAGUUAAAAAGCUAAAAUUUAUUUAAAAGACGAGAAGACCCUAUAGAGUUUUAUAAUAUUAAUAAUUAAAAUUAAAUAUAUAAAUAUAAAUUAAAAUUAAUUAAUAUUAUUUUGUUGGGGUGAUAGAAAAAUUAAAGAAACUUUUUUUUUUAUAAAUCAUAAAUUAGUGAAUAAAUGAUCCAUUUAUAAUGAUUAAAAGAAAAAAUUACCUUAGGGAUAACAGCGUAAUUUUUUUUUUUAGUACAAAUAAAAAAAAAAGGUUGCGACCUCGAUGUUGGAUUAAGAUAAAAAUUAAAUGCAAAAGUUUAAAAAUUUUGAUCUGUUCGAUCAUUAAAAUCUUACAUGAUCUGAGUUCAAACCGGUGUAAGCCAGGUUGGUUUCUAUCUUUAAUAAAUUAAAAUAUUUUAGUACGAAAGGAUCAAGUAUUUUAAAUAAUUUAAAAAUAAAUGAAUAUUAUUAAAAUUAUUUA